ensembl:lncRNA
CCCCCUCCCUAUCCCAACGCCCCCAGUGUCCCCAGUGUCCCCCUGUCCCCACCAAUGUCCCCAGUGUCCCCAGUGUCCUCCCGUCCCCACGGAUGUCCCCAGCGUCCCCAGUGUCCCCAGCGCCCUCACGGCCAGCAGCAGCCCCCGCAGCUGCUCCUUGGAGAGGGGCACGAAGCUGUCCCGGAACUCCUGCUCCCAGCCCGGGGGCUCGAGGGGCCGGGGGCGCCGCUUGGCCCGGGCCAGCUCGGCCACCAGCGAGGCCACCGCGCGCCGCGGGGCGGCCACCAGCACCCGGCGCCGGGCCACCGCGCGCAGCAUCCUGCACGAGGCGGGCGGCGUCACGCUGACGUCACCGCGAUGAUGUCACCGCGACGUCGCCGCGGCGUCACGCUGAGGUCAGGCAGGGGGCGCGCGGCGCGUGCACGGGGGGACGAGAGGGCGCGAGGGGGGAUGUGGGGAGCAAAGGGUGCACAGGGUGCAAGGAGGGGUGCAACGCGGGGUGCACAGGGUGCACAGGGUGCAAGGAGGGGUGCAAUGUGGGGUGCACAGGGUGCACAGGAUGCAAUGCUGGGUGCAAUGCAGGGUGCAAUGCAGGAUGCAAACGGUGCAAUGCGGGGUGCAGCGUGGGGUGCACAGAGUGCAAGGUAGGGCGCACAGGGUGCAACGUGGGGUUCAACGCUGGGUGCAAAGCUGGGUGCAAUGCAGGGAGCACAGCGUGCAAAGGGUGCAAUGCUGUGUGCAAUGCAGGGUGCAAACGGUGCAAUGCGGGGUGCAAUGCGGGGUGCAAUGUGGGGUGCACAGAGUGCAAGGCAGGGUGCACAGGGUGCAAAGGCUGCAAGGUGUGGUGCAAUGUAGGGUGCACAGGCUGCAGGGCAGCGCGCAGUGCAAGGUGCACAGGGUGCAAUGCUGGGUGCAGGGCUGGGUGCGCUGCAGGCUGCAAGGUGAGGCCCACGAGGUGCAGUGUGAGGUGCGACACGGGGGCAAUGCAGGGUGCAGCACAGCUGCAACGCGGGAGCACCCCAGGUGCAAUGCGGGGGCAAUGCAGGUGCAGCACAGCUGCAACGCGGGGCGCACUGCAGGGUGUACAGGGUUUAACGCAGGACGCAACACAGGGUGCAACAAGUGCAGCACAGGGGCACUGGGCGCGAUGCAGGGUGCAACGAGGGGUGUGGUGCAGAAUGCAACGCAAGGCGCAACAAGCGCAGCACAGGUGCCCUGCACGCAACGCGCAGUGCAGCAGGUGCGAUGCAGAGUGCACAGGGUGCAGGGGGUGCAACGCCGGGUGCAAGGGGUGCAUUGCGGUGUGCAGGGCUGCAGUGCAGGGGGUGAUACUGAGCGCAAUGGGGGGUGCGAUGCAGAUCGUGCAGGGUGCAAUGCAGGGCACGGGGGGUGUAACACAGACUGCAAUGCCGGGUGCAACGCAGGUUGCAGGGGGUGCAAUGCCAGGUGCAAUGCAGGGUGCUGGGGGUGCAAUGCAGAUUGCAAUGCAGGUGACAGGAGUCACAGUGCCAGUUGCAAUGCGGGGUGCUGAGGGUGCAAUGCCAUUUGCAAUGCAGGUUGCUCAGGGUGCAAUGCCAGUUACUCAGGGCGCAAUGCCAGUUGCAAUGCCGGGUGCAAUGUCAGUUGCAGGAGGUGCAGUGUCAGUUGCUCGGGGUGUAAUGCCGGGCGCAAUGCAGGUUGCUCAGGGUGCAAUGCCAGGUGCAAUGCGGGGUGCUGCGGGUGCAAUGCCAUUUGCAAAGCAGGUUGCUCAGGGUGCAAUGCAGGGUGCAAUGCCAGUUACUCAGGGCGCAAUGCCAGUUGCAAUGCCGGUUGCAAUGUCAGUUGCAGGAGGUGCAAUGCAGGUUGCUCAGGGUGCAAUGCCGGGUGCAAUGCGGGGUGCUGGGGGUGCAAUGCCGGUUGCAAUGCCAGUUACUCAGGGUGCAAUGCCCAGUGCAAAGCCAGUCGCAAUGUCAGUUGCAGGAGGUGCAAUGCAGGUUGCUCAGGGUUCAAUACCAGGUGCAAUACGGGGUGCUGCGGGUGCAAAGCCAUUUGCAAUGCAGGUUGCUCAGGGUGAUAGGCAGGGUGCAAUGCCAGUUACUCAGGGUACAGUGCCAGUUGCAAUGCAGGUCACAGGGGUUGCAAUGCAGGGUGCAAUGCCAGUUACUCAGGGUGCAAUACCCGGUGCAAUGUCAGUUGCAGGAGGUGCAAUGCCGGGUGCAGGGGUUGCAAUGCAGGGUGCAAUGCCAGUUACUCAGGG